rnacentral:rRNA from 1 species
AGAGUUUGAUCCUGGCUCAGAUUGAACGCUGGCGGCAUGCCUACACAUGCAAGUCGAACGGCAGCACGGGAGCAAUCCUGGUGGCGAGUGGCGAACGGGUGAGUAAUAUAUCGGAACGUGCCCAGUCGUGGGGGAUAACGCAGCGAAAGCUGUGCUAAUACCGCAUACGAUCUCUGGAUGAAAGCGGGGGACCUGCAAGGGCCUCGCGCGAUUGGAGCGGCCGAUAUCAGAUUAGCUAGUUGGUGGGGUAAAAGCUCACCAAGGCGACGAUCUGUAGCUGGUCUGAGAGGACGACCAGCCACACUGGAACUGAGACACGGUCCAGACUCCUACGGGAGGCAGCAGUGGGGAAUUUUGGACAAUGGGCGCAAGCCUGAUCCAGCAAUGCCGCGUGCAGGAUGAAGGCCUUCGGGUUGUAAACUGCUUUUGUACGGAGCGAAAAGGCUCUCUCUAAUACGGGGAGUUCAUGACGGUACCGAAGAAUAAGCACCGGCUAACUACGUGCCAGCAGCCGCGGUAAUAC